AGAGUUUGAUCAUGGCUCAGGAUGAACGCUGGCGGCGUGCUUAACACAUGCAAGUCGAACGUGAUCCAUUAGCAAUAGUGGUGAAAGUGGCGAACGGGUGAGUAACACGUAGAUAACCUACCCUGAAGCGGGGGAUAACGAUUGGAAACGGUCGCUAAUACCGCAUGAGCCUAUUGAAGCGGGAGUGAGAUAGGGAAAAUUCAGGUGCUUUAGGCGGGGUCUGCGUCCGAUUAGCUAGUUGGUGAGGUAACGGCUCACCAAGGCGACGAUCGGUAGCUGGUCUGAGAGGACGAUCAGCCACACGGGAACUGAGACACGGUCCCGACUCCUACGGGGGGCAGCAGUGAGGAAUAUUGGGCAAUGGGCGGAAGCCUGACCCAGCAACGCCGCGUGGAGGAUGAAGGCCUUCGGGUCGUAAACUCCUUUUGACGGGGAAGAGGAAGGACGGUACCCGUCGAAUAAGUCACGGCUAACUACGUG
rnacentral:rRNA from 1 species